ACAAGACCGGAGGUGGUGAAGCCAUUUAGCAAGUUUCCCUGAUGAACAAACUCUUGUUUGCAGGCUGAAGAAUGGAAACUGUGCAGGUUACAUCAGCUGAUUCCCAUUUCCUGAGGCAUGGGCAGGGUGCUCACCCUGUUUCCCUGGGAAGCUGCCUAACCAGCCUCUGCCCGUAGCAAGGUCUGCCCUGAACACUGCAGCUCUGGUGUUCUGCAAGAUGGGAUGAACCUUAUCUGAUAGCUUUCAGCAGAGCAAAGAGGAAUUACUGCAUUCUGCACCUGCAGUUCCAACCACUUUCUUCCAUCUGACUACCCUGUGAACCAAUUGAAUUUGCUAAUCUGUCAGGAAAGCAAUUUAAAUAUAUGUUAUAUAUAUAAAAUAUAAUAAUUAUUAAAAAAAAAAAGAUGACCAAACCAAAACACAAACAAAAAACUCUUAAACCCCAGAAUAAAUGAUCUCUGCUAUGCCAGUGAGCUUAAAGGGAGAUGAGCAGUAGCAGUAGGGAGUACAAAGGAAUGAAUUCUGUCUGGGAGAUGGGAUUCUUUUGGCAGCAGUGAGUUGCUAGAUGAACUCAGCCAUCUUGUGGGCCUCAGGCUUACCUUACCACAGUGUGCCAGGGACCAUGAGAAACCUUAGACUGAUGUGUAUAAUAAGCAUGUAUGUUUGGCUAUUUAUCUGAAACUCGAAACUGCCGUGCAAACAUGAUGACCUCAGACCCUGGCAAUCCUUCCUGUGCUUCCAGAUACUCAGUAUCCUGCCCUGUGGGUGGGCAAAAAAUAUCUCACAUACAAUUUGUUUUGCGUAAACGUUUCCAAGUAUUAAUGGAAAAAACACAGGAUAAGAUUAUGCAAACCUUUAUUGUUAGCGGGACUGAUAAGAUUAUUUAUGGCAGAUAACACUUGUUGCAAGUACAAGCCUAUUUUCUUCAAUGAAGAAGACCUAUCUUUUUUGCUGAGGAGUUUGUUAUUUGGAAGCAGUAGCUGAGAAAAACUCCCGACUUGUCAGUCAUUUGAACUGUGAACUUCAGCUGUCUCCUGUUUGUUUGCAGUGCCGGGUAGGUCAUCCGAAUAACACGGGGACUCGAGCGGGAUGGCUGACGCCUGCUACAAGGAGCACUGCGCGAUACAGCGCGAGCAGCUGGAGCUGAACAGUCAUUCAGAUGCCUGUGACAGUGUGUCACCAACAUACGUCUUUCAACAGAUUUGAAUAUUUCACUUCUGCUUCUCAUAGCACUAUAUAUUUACCUAACCCCUUACCUUUGAGUGGUGAUUAUUAACUAGGCGCAAAAAAACUUGGUCUGAUAUGGUUUCCUUUAUUUUUCUUGUAAGAUUUGAUUGUCAGGAUUUCAGACCUGUUUCAUAGCUACAUUGUCUUACCAGAAAUAAGAUAAUAAUAACUUUCUGCUUUUCACCUGAAUCUGAAGUAGAUCCUCUGAGUGGUAUCUGUUUGCUUGGUAUUCGCUAGGGGGAAAUUACAUGAGCAAUCUGAACUGAUCCAGUGGCUGUGUGGCACUGAAAAGAGGCAUCCUUGCCUCUCAGUCCUGGACGUGUGUCCCCACAGCUUACUUGUCUGUCUGCUUGCUGAAUCCACUCACUAUGCUGACAGGGAUCUAACCCAGCAAAAAGGUGGCUAUUGCUGAGCUAGUGAGUCCAAUCAUUGGCCAGGCACAUCUGAUGAGUGUCAAAACAUGGUAAAGGAAGAGGGUAGAGGGUGGAUCUGUGGCUACUGGAAAAUGCCAAGUGGGGGGAAAGGGCAGUGGAAGAGGAGUGAGGAGUAGGAAGAAAGGGAAGUGGUGGUAAACUCUUAGAUAAACUAAACUGUUAGUAUAAAUAGUAUAAAUUUACAUUUACAGACUAUUUAACACAAUGUGUGGAAACUUUAUUUUUCUUCCACCUGAAGGCUGAAUAGACCUUUCAAACACUGUGUUGGUAGAUCAAAGGUUAAUAUUUUAUCACCAUUCAUGAAUAAUGCAAAAAAAUUAUCUGGCCACGAGUUCCAUGAAAAGAAUAUUUUUGGGAAUAUAAAAGCUCUUUUCUUGUCAUAUCAGCUGUGGACUGUUUUUUUUACCCGGUGACAUCAGGAAAGCCAAGCUAAUCUGCAGCUCCUUAAUUAGAUGUAAUUUCUGAAGAGUCUCUUUGCAAAUUUCUCUUCAGCCUAGCAAGCAGGACCUUUGGUUGUUUGGGAGAUCCAUUAUAGUCUUUGUGUAGAUUUCUCACUGUCCAAAUGCACCUGGAGACUGAUGGCUUGUGAAGGCUGGAGUUGGAUGCUCUUUUAAUAAUCUAUUUUAGUGAAGGAUUUUUACGUUUGAAAAUGUCAUUGCAUUUAUCUUGUAGGUGAAAUGACUCCUUGAAAAGGGUUUUGAUGCAUAGUGUUAAUCUGGGAAAGGAACUUGUCAGGUAGUUUCUUAUUUCACAAAGUAUUACAAUGGCUUCCUCUAAGGGGAAUCUAGCUCUAUUCUCAGACUUACAGGUAAUGGAGUUAAGAGACUUCAAGAAGUCAGUUCUUGGGGUUUCAGUUAGAAGCUUAAUUCAUGUUUCUUUCUUGUAAUCAUCACUGGAUUGGACAGAACUCAUUUUGCUGUUUGAAAAAAAAAAAAAUCAAAAACAGCCUAGCAGUUCUAGUUAAGUGCUAUUAUCCUUUAAUUUAGUUGGUCUGUUCUCUUAUUCUGGUUAAUGCAGCUCAGGAUUGUAACAAAAAAUUGUCAUUAUCUCAUGGCUGCUCAGCACUUGUAUGACAAGUUUUCUGUUUCCAGUUUCCAGUGGACCAUCGGCAAUGGGAGAAGAACCAAGGAAUGAGCAGCACACAGUGUAAUCUGUCCUUUCACUGAAGGAACACGUCAGGGUGUUGUAGAGUUAUGCUGCAAAUAAUAAAUAACCUGGAUCUCUCCUCUACCUGGAAGCCCUUGAAGAACUCUGUGUAGAUGGGAAAUAUCACCUCUUACUGUUGUUCAAUUCUCACCUCAAAAGGAAGGACCACCAUGGCUAGGUAUGAGGAUAAACAUGAUACUAAGACUGAUGUGACUUCAUGUGACCAGGCCUGGAUUUUGCUGUGGGUGGAGAGCAAUUCUUAGAAACAGAAAAUCAAAAGCUACUUCUGCUUGCUAUUGUCUGGGUAAGAACAGGAUUGAGCUAUUUUAUCAGCUUAUGUAUAUCUACAUGUUAAAAAGAAACUCUUGCUCUCUGCAACAAGAAACGAAGGAAUGGUGUAAGAAUCCUUUUGAUUUUUGGAUGGAUGGUGAAGGCAGAUGCACCUGAAAAAGUGAGGUGGACAGAGCUCUGACUGCUGCUGAGAGUGUCCUGGUUUAUCAAGAGGCCUGUGGUAAUUCCUGGAGUGUGGGGAGUUUAUUAGAAAAUAAUGAAUACUCCGUACACACUUCAAAGAUUGGGAUAUGCCACGGAGCUACCUUUGGCCUCAGCAGGCUCUCUGUGAACCAGAGAACAGUGGAAAUAGCUACUGUAUAAGAGUGUGUGACCCAGCAUUGUUUUCUUCCAUUUUGUUGGAGAAAGGCAGGGUGUUCAAUAUGAUGGUUCUGCCUCAUCCUGAGCGCUGGAACUUGGACUUCACUCUCAUUCCUCCUUCCCAUGAAGUAACUUCAUUUUCUGCGUUUUGGCUGACCUCAUUAUUCAACCAGCUGGCCCCUUUCCUCCAUCAGCCAGCCAUUUGUUCUCCUUUGUCAUUCUGGGAUGCCCUAUGUUACCUCCGACUGUCACCUGUCAUCACGUUUCUUCCACAAGUGGCACUUUGGAGGCCUCUGGGAGUGAUUGUGCCAGUUCAACCAUGCUACAAUUGUAUGGAGGUCAAAUGAAACUACACCACAUAGAUGUUUGUUUCUUAAUGCCUCAAGUUUAAAGGCAGUGAGUCAAGUGAUGACAGCAAUCAAGAAAAGGCAGAACACAUAAAGGUUAAUUUGAAUGGGACUCAUCAGCUGGCAAUAACUUUGGCUGUCCUCACACCUCUGAUAUUUCUUGAGUACCAAGUCCUUGCCACAAGUCCAAAUAUUUAAGUCUUUCUGAGUCCUCACUGAACAAGGCAACAUUAGAACAACUGCAUGCUCCUCCACUGAGAUGCAAGGACUCCUUCCGUGUCACUACUGCAAUAAAGCCUGGAGUACUACAAUGACAACACAACUUUGCUUUCUGCUGGUGAGAAUUCCAGUUCCUUUGGGGAAGAAGAAAUAUAAGUGGUCUUCCAGUACUGAAAGAAGUGUUUCCAAACAACCCUGGUGUGAUCAUCUCCUGGCUGUGCUCUUGAAAAUGUAGAAAAAGCAGCUAUCUGUAUGCAUGCAUCAUACACAAGAGCCUAAAAGAUGAUGUAAGGAAAAAAAUUAACCGUAACAAGGGACAUUGUCUGAAAUGUGUCUGAUUUUAGACCCUGGAAGUUAAGCAACCACCAGAUGAAGGUGGUGCCACAGGGACUCAAUUCAGCUGGAGAAUGUAUGCAUUGAGUCACUCAGAUUGACAACACCUUGGCCUUUUGCAUUUCCACAUCUGGGGCAUGGGAUGAAGCAACAGUGGCACAAAAGUCAAAGGAAAAAUUCAUAGCAACUUCUGUGAAACCAGGAUUUAAACCAGAAGUUUCUGAAGUGGGAUACCAUGAGUGAAGACAGUCUUUCCUUCACCAAGAAGAAAUGUAUUUGUCUGUCCUGCCUCUGAAGUGUGACCAUUCUGCCAGGAACAGAAACUACAUAACCCUGGAAGUUUUCCAGAUUCAUGGUAAAGGACAUGUGUUUCUUCUGAAAGUGAAUAUACACAUGAUAUACUCUGAAUAUGCUGAAAAGAAAGGCAGUUAACAAAAAGCAAAACUUAUUCCAGGAAUACUCAUUUUCAAUACUUCCCAGAGGAGUGUAGACUUUGUAUCAUGAACAUGAAUUCCCACUAGACCAGUGGAACUAUGAAUUUUCAUGGCAAGUUUUGUCUUUCUCAGCUAUGUAAAUGAAGUUCAGAUAACCCACAGUCUACAGAACCCUAAAAUGCCACAAGCAUAAUUAGGAAUAAAACAUGCCAAACUGCCCCGCAGUGCUGAUGACCACAUGCUUCAGGUAAGCCUGAUGCACAAGGCAAUCUAAAACUAUUCAGCUCUUAGGCGUGUGUUAAAAUAACCUCUAAAACAUUCUUAUGAUACAUAGGAUAAAUCAUCAAGUUAUUUUACGAAUCAUGAAAUGUGAAAAUAUGUAACUGAAAAUGUGUUAAGAAUCACUUCAUAAUGCUCAUUUUUGCCUCUAUUGUUUUUAGAG